rnacentral:rRNA from 1 species
GACAGAGGGGGCAAGCGUUGCUCGGAAUCACUGGGCGUAAAGGGCGCGUAGGCGGGAUGGCAAGUCAGUCGUGAAAUCUCUCGGCUCAACCGAGAAACGUCGGCUGAUACUGCCGUUCUUGAGGGAUGCAGAGGAGACUGGAAUUCCCGGUGUAGCGGUGAAAUGUGUAGAGAUCGGGAGGAACACCGGUGGCGAAGGCGGCAUCCUGGACCGGCAUUGACGCUGAGGAGCGAAAGCCAGGGGAGCAAACGGG